GUGCUUCAGCAACACAUAUACUAAAAUUGGAAUGAUACAGAGAAGAUUAGCAUGUCCACUGCACAAGGAUGACACAAAAAUUUGUGAAGCUUUCCAUAUUAAA